CCCAGCAGUAAAGGGGCCACUGGGAAUGAGGGAAGACUCAACAUGGAGUGGCUGGGCAGGAACCCCAUCCCCACGAGGGAGAGUGGUGAUGCCCUGAGAGUCCCCCAGAGUGCGAGUGUAGACAUUCCACUGGGACCCCAGAGCCUGCACAAGCCAUUCUCCAGGUCACACACGGGGGCUGCCCCUGACACACACACACACACACACACACACACACACACACACACACACCUGCUUCAGUGUGUCCCCAAGUCAUUUCCAUGAUCAGUACAAGCAUUUAACACAUGGAAGGCACUUCUGGGCUGACCCACGAGGUUAGACUGCUCUCAAGCAUGGACAAAUUAGAAAAACAGCGAUACUCCGCCCGCUACGCAAUGUCGGCUUUUCCUUUUCUUCUUUCCUUGACGAAAGAAAAAGAGAUGUCAACAGAGAUCAGGCAACUUCGCUUUCUGAACAAAUCCUUAAAGAAGCAAACUAGAGCACCGCCACAGAACACUUUAUUAUUAACCAUUAUCUUUCCAGCUUCUCCGUCCCUGGCGGCCCCAGCUGCACUCAUUUCUAGGGCUCUCAUGUUUCAGCGUCUAGGCGAUAAAUGCCUUCUUAGCACAAAGUACGUCCUCAAGUACCCUAAAGCAGAAUUCUGAUGCAAGCCUUCCCCCUGCCGUGCAGCCCAUGCUGGCCCCCAUUCUCAUCUGCCUUGCAAAGGAAGAUAGAAUCACUUAUCUUUUAGUAGAAGAGUAGUGUUUGCACCCGUGUGACCCACGAGCCGACGAAGACCCAGCACGUUUCCAUCACCUGGGCAGUCCCCUUCGUCAAUGCCUCCGGCCAGCCCCUUCCCAGGCCAUCCCUACCGAAGGCCAGCACCCUUCUGACUUCUGUCACCUUAGUUUCACCCGCUCUAGGAUGUCAUAGAAAGGGGAGCACACGGUAAGUGUUCGGCCUGCCUUUGAGGUGCACCUCACCGUGAGUGAUUCAGCACCUCAUCGCUUUCGACCGCUGAGCAGUGCUCACUAUGUGACUACAAUGCGUGUUUCUCUGCUCUCCUGCUGACGGACACUUGGGCCAUUUCCCGUGUUUGGCUAUUAUGAAUCAAGCUGUCAUGAACAUUCUUGUGCAAGGCUUUUGUGGGCCUAUGUUUUCAUUUCUCUUGGAUGAAUGCCUCCGAGAAAACUGCCGGGUCAUCGGGUAAAUGUGUGUUUAACUUUAAGACCAACAAACAAACAAACAAAAGAAAAACCCUGCCGAACAGCCAAAUGGAUUCAUCCGCACACUACGAUCUGUGCAUUUCAAUGCAUGUAAAUUUUAUCUGAUUUUUUUAAAAAAUGGAGCAAACCUACGAAUACGCCCCAUAGAAAAUAGGGUGUAUUCACUAAAGACACUAACAAGAAUGUGUAUGGCAACAUUGUUCAUAAUAGUCCCAGACCGGGGACAAUUCCAAUGACAAUCAACAGUAAGAAUGGAGAAACACAUUGUGGUUUUAUUCGAAGUCUAUACAGCAAUGAGGGUGAAGGGAUCACAACCACACGAUAUAGAUGAACCUGACAAUGUAACGUAGAGGGAAAGAAGCCAGACACAAAAGAAUCAGACCAUAGGGUUCACUGUGUAUUCAGUGCAGAGAAGACAAAACGAAUUCGUGGUGACUUAAUCAGGAGAGCGGUUGCCCCCGCGGGGUGGGGGGGCUGGUGACUCAGAGGGGUAAGGAGGUGAAUCCUAGGAUUCUAGCGAUGUUUCUGGAGAGGAUGCGGACUACGUAGGUAGGUUCAGUUUGUGAAAAUCUAGAAAGCUGGACAUUAAAGACCUGUGUGCUUUUC